UACGGAGGGAGCUAGCGUUGUUCGGAAUUACUGGGCGUAAAGCGCACGUAGGCGGCUUUGUAAGUUAGAGGUGAAAGCCCGGGGCUCAACCCCAGAAUUGCCUUUAAGACUGCAUCGCUUGAAUCCAGGAGAGGUGAGUGGAAUUCCGAGUGUAGAGGUGAAAUUCGUAGAUAUUCGGAAGAACACCAGUGGCGAAGGCGGCUCACUGGACUGGUAUUGACGCUGAGGUGCGAAAGCGUGGGGAGCAAACAGG
rnacentral:rRNA from 1 species